UACGAGGGGUGCAAGCGUUGCUCGGAAUUAUUGGGCGUAAAGGGUAGGUAGGUGGUCUCAUUUGUCGGGGGUGAAAGCCUUGGGCUUAACUCAAGAAGUGCCCCCGAAACGGUGAGACUGGAGUCCUGGAGAGGGUCGUGGAAUUCCCGGUGUAGCGGUGAAAUGCGUAGAGAUCGGGAGGAACACCAGAGGCGAAGGCGGCGACCUGGACAGGUACUGACACUCAACUACGAAAGCGUGGGGAGCAAACAGG
rnacentral:rRNA from 1 species